rnacentral:lncRNA from 1 species
CUCCGGAUAUGUAGACUUGUCGAGAGGUGUCUUGCUGCUCCUGUUUGGACACUGCAAGUUUUAAAUAUUUAAUUUAUUAUAUUAAAUUAUACACAAUUAAAAACGGCUUAUUGAAUAAGUGUAAGCAAUCCGUCUAAAUCAAUUAUUACGCGUGUGAGAAAAAUGUCACAUACUAUGCAAUUUAAUUGUUUGUUUAACAACGUCACUCGUAAAUGAUUUCAAAUGGUAAGAUUAAGAAAGAAAGAAUUUAAUUAAAUGCAAAUUAAAGUUAAAUUAACAACUCCGACAUAAAAUGAGACACUUGAUCCUAUUCUUCGAACAUUUUGAUUAGUUUAAACACAAAGUUGCUUUAUUGUACUUCAUUUAAAUUUAACUUUGUAUGUUUAAUUUUGCUUCUUAACUGAAAAAUGUUGUUUUAUAUGCAACUUUCAUUAAUUAACAAGCUUGUUUUUGCAUAUUUUACGUCCCUUUCCAAUCAGAGAGAUUAUUAAGGGGAACCUCCAAUUACGAGCUGUACCCACACCUGUAGAAGGGGCCAGAUGAUGAGCGAACCGCCCAUCCGGCGCCCUCCACAGGUGGGGAGGCCCGGAGGGAGCCCAUCCGGAGUGGGGAGGCCCGGCGAUUCCCGAAAUCUUUUCGGGGAUCGCCGGGUAGGGCCCAGCACCCCGAAAAAACUUUUCAGGAGUUACCAGAUCCACGCAGGAGUUACCAGAUCCACGCAGGAGUUACCAUUUUCAGGAGUUAUCAGACCCGAGGUCCUCGGGUCUGGUAACUCCUGAAAAUGGUCCUCCUGCGUGGCACCCUGACAGCGUUACCACUCGGCCAUCCGGCGCAAAUUAACA